rnacentral:rRNA from 1 species
ACAUGCAAGUCGAACGAGAACGGAUUAUAGCUUGCUAUAAUUGUCAGCUAAGUGGCGCACGGGUGAGUAAUAUAUAGGUAACGUGCCCUAGAGAAGAGGAUAACAGUUGGAAACGAUUGCUAAGACUCUAUAUGCCUUUAAGACUUAAGUCUGCAAGGGAAAUAUUUAUAGCUCUAGGAUCGGCCUGUACGGUAUCAGUUAGUUGGUGAGGUAAUGGCUCACCAAGACAAUGAGCCUAACUGGUUUGAGAGGAUGAUCAGUCACACUGGAACUGAGACACGGUCCAGACUCCUACGGGAGGCAGCAGUGGGGAAUAUUGCACAAUGGACGAAAGUCUGAUGCAGCAACGCCGCGUGGAGGAUGACACAUUUCGGUGCGUAAACUCCUUUUAUAUGGGAAGAUAAUGACGGUACCAUAUGAAUAAGCACCGGCUAACUCCGUGCCAGCAGCCGCGGUAAUACGGAGGGUGCAAGCGUUACUCGGAAUCAUGGGCGUAAAGAGCGUGUAGGCGGGUAGUUAAGUCAGAAGUGAAAUCCAAUAGCUCAACUAUUGAACUGCUUUUGAAACUUGAUUACCUAGAAUAUGGGAGAGGUAGAUGGAAUUUCUGGUGUAGGGGUUAAAUCCGUAGAGAUCAAAGGAAUACCGAUUGCGAAGGCGAUCUACUGGAACAUUAUUUGACGCUGAAACGCGA